rnacentral:tRNA from 1 species
AGGCGAGUAGUUCAAUUGGUAGAAUAGCGGUCUCCAAAACCGUUGGUUGGGGGUUCGAUUCCCUCCUCGCCUGCCA